AUCCCUCUCACGAGUCAUGACUGCACGGCCCUAGCCCCUCACUGCCAGACCCCAUCGAUCCUUAUCUCACGACCGCAUGCACAGGAGGGCCGGACUCGUGGAUUUGCGGCGGAGGCCGGAGGGGCGACGAGCGAGCGGCGCCGAUGCGCGGCGGCGCAUGGGGGCGGAGAGGCCAGCAGCGCAUCGGAGGCUAGCCGAGGCAAGCAGCCUGCGGCGCAUCCCUGCAUCACGGGCUCACGGCUGUGGCCGGAGGGGCCAGCGGUGCCGGCGCUGCGAUGCGUGUGGGGGGCGGCACGGCCACAGUCGGCACAUCGAUAGCACAGAGCAGUGCGACUGCAGCUAGCGCCAACGAGGUUCAACUUUAGUAAUUGCUUAGUGCUAUGGUUCAAACCCCAGAAACCAUAAAGCUUGCACUUCCUUGAUUUUGGGAUCAGUGGUAGCGAUCCUCACAAUAGGGGAAACUAGUCUUGCCAGUACAAUUCACGUACUGAGGGUUUGUUGAUCAACCCUUUGCAGUUGCAGGUUGCUGUGCAGGUAUCGACACAUGCGGGCUAUGUGGCGGUUCCUUGUAGAAUUGUUGGUGUUGGCUCUCUACGUUAGACUUGUCGUGUUUUACUUCCGGAUGGGGACUCGACUGUUUCAUCUCUUUCUUUCUAUCCUUGAACUACUGAUGAUGUAUUAAUGAAGACUUCCGUUGUAUCUCUUUCUAGACCUUGAACUCUGAUAUGAAAAUAUAACUUCUGUGUGGUGUACUCAUGUUGAGAUGUUGUAUCUGUCUGUGGCUCCUUCGAGAGUCCGUGUAUGUGAUCCUGGAUUAGUGGUGUGAUCGAGUAUCCAUUUUGGGGUAUUCGACGGGCUACCAGACUUGUACAUGUUGAAGCAUAUUGAGGGCCAGUGGUGGCCAUAUGCUUGAGCUUGUAUUAGUCGGGCGGUUCCGCCACAUUGCCGAGAAGUGGUUGAGCUUAAGUCAACAAAGCCUUGGUCGAAAGGCAAGAUCUUUUACACUUGACCAAGCCAAAAGCUCUGAUGAAGAAAGAUGGAACUGAGUGUCAAUUUUGGCACUGGGAAGAUGAAUGUUGAUCUGCAAUUUGUGAUAGGACAAGUGAGGGCAUUGGUUGCAGUAGGCAAGGAAGUAGCAUGGUUACUGAAAUGCAUUCUUGUUGUAUGCCUGGCUGUAGUAUUUGUGCAUUCUCUGUUGUUAGUUCAGAUGAUGAAGUGAUGUGUUUGUGUAUGCCACAUGUGUAACAUCUUUGAACUGAAUGAAUGAAGUUAUGUUUUCACCUA